GACGAACGCUUGCGGCGUGCCUAAUACAUGCAAGUAGAACGCUGAAGCUUGGUGCUUGCACCGAGCGGAUGAGUUGCGAACGGGUGAGUAACGCGUAGGUAACCUGCCUGGUAGCGGGGGAUAACUAUUGGAAACGAUAGCUAAUACCGCAUAAGAGUAGAUGUUGCAUGACAUUUGCUUAAAAGGUGCAAUUGCAUCACUACCAGAUGGACCUGCGUUGUAUUAGCUAGUUGGUGAGGUAACGGCUCACCAAGGCAACGAUACAUAGCCGACCUGAGAGGGUGAUCGGCCACACUGGGACUGAGACACGGCCCAGACUCCUACGGGAGGCAGCAGUAGGGAAUCUUCGGCAAUGGACGGAAGUCUGACCGAGCAACGCCGCGUGAGUGAAGAAGGUUUUCGGAUCGUAAAGCUCUGUUGUAAGAGAAGAACGAGUGUGAGAGUGGAAAGUUCACACUGUGACGGUAUCUUACCAGAAAGGGACGGCUAACUACGUG
rnacentral:rRNA from 1 species